GCCCAUAUCAUGUUGAAACACUGGUUCCAUAGGAUCACUGAAGCUAAGCAACAUUGAGCCUGGUCAGUAUCUAGAUGGGUGACCACUUGGGAAUACCAGGUGCUGUAAG